rnacentral:rRNA from 1 species
AGUAACCUGCCCUGGAGUGGGGAAUAACAGCUGGAAACAGCUGCUAAUACCGCAUAAUGCAGUUGGGUCGCAUGGCUCUGACUGCCAAAGAUUUAUCGCUCUGGGAUGGACUCGCGUCUGAUUAGCUAGUCGGUGGGGUAACGGCCCACCAAGGCGACGAUCAGUAGCCGGACUGAGAGGUUGGCCGGCCACAUUGGGACUGAGACACGGCCCAGACUCCUACGGGAGGCAGCAG